rnacentral:rRNA from 1 species
UACGUAGGGCGCAAGCGUUGUCCGGAAUUAUCGGGCGUAAAGAGCUCGUAGGCGGCUUGUUGCGUCGGCUGUGAAAUCCCGGGGCUUAACUCCGGGCGUGCAGCCGAUACGGGCAGGCUAGAGUCCGGUAGGGGAGACUGGAAUUCCUGGUGUAGCGGUGAAAUGCGCAGAUAUCAGGAGGAACACCGGUGGCGAAGGCGGGUCUCUGGGCCGGUACUGACGCUAAGGAGCGAAAGCGUGGGGAGCGAACAGG